rnacentral:lncRNA from 1 species
GUCAACCCAACACCUUCAUCUUCAAAGACCUCGCAACUUGCGAACAUGUUUUCCUGCGAGAUGACACGGUCCGGCGCUCCCUCCAACCUCCUUUCUCAGGACCACACCCCGUCAUCCGUCGUGACGAGAAAACGGUCACUCUGCUGAUUAAGGGAAAGAAAUCACGUGUCUCCAUAGACAGGGUCAAACCGGCUUACCUAAUGGCAAACGAAAUCCCUGCCAUCAAGACUCAGGUUCCUCAGGCACUUCCAGGCCCGGCUGCACCGCAAGUCCAACCCGCCCCGCCCAGUAAAGGAGAAGUCAAGACACCGAAACCUGUAGUUGAGACGCCAAAACCAGCAAACGAAGCAUAUAAGCACAUUGAACAUAUUAAUCACUGAUCAAUUAUAGUCCUUCUCAUAACCAUUGUCUACCAAACAUACCACUAAUGCCAUGAAAUAAGAGAUGGUUGUCCACGAAAUAACUGUGAAGUUGUCUUCAAAAGGAUGACUUUAAUCCACGAUAAAGAAUCGGCCUACUUAUGGAAGGGGGGGGGGGUAACACGGGAUCGGCGUGCCGGAAGUCCGUGAUAACUGCCGUCCCUGCCUUCAAUUUCCCUUUACACUCCGCGUCAUGACAUCUUUGAUACAGUGCAGAUUGUGAUGCAUUAAAUUCGAAGAAAAUGUUAUUUGACACGUGAGUGCCUGGCUUAUGGAGGCAACGGCGACAAUUCUUCACGAAAAUCCAGUACACCUUCUUAUUGUGAGUUGAGAUUGAAGUGAUCAACUUUCUCGCGUCCGCAACCGCCUGACCAGAAUACAGAGAAACAAGUUCCAUGACCCGAUUACGAACACCUUCAUCUGAAAUCAUUUCCUCUAGGGAGCCGAUUGUCAGGUUGGAGGGGGUGUACGGAGUUUUUUUACGUGGGGUCGGGUACAGGACCGUAUUCCUCUGCGUGUCCGUCCAGACGGUUGGGUUUUCGUUUGCGCGCGAGCCUAUCACCGACACCAGAGUUGUAUGGAAAUUGUCCCUUGCUAUUUCCCCUUGGGAAGGAAGGAAUGGGACGCUCACCCUUUCUCCAUUUUCAUUCACCUCCCAUUUCGAGCUGUACACCGUUCGGAAUUGUUGGUGUUGGUGGUGCACGUUCAUGUCGAUAAUAAGCCGGCCGUUUACGGAUAUAAUUGACUUUUGGGCGGGUAACAACCCCUCGAUGAAGCGCUCCGCCAAAAUUCUCGCUUCACGUACGUCAGAUACGGAUAGGCCGUUCGCUACACAGUGGUAACUGGCUUUCGUUCCACGGCUGCUGCGAAACCACUGCACAGUUAACCGCAAUACGGGAAAAGACUUUCGGAGGAACGCUUCAAAGAGGCGCUUCACCCGUCCAAAAGUCAAUUCUUCAGGAACUCCUGCUGCUGGUACAUUCCAUUCAACGUCAAGAUACGGUUUUACGGGUUGUCCUUCGGGAAUGAUUUCGAAAACAGCAGGAAAAGGCCCUUGGAAAAUUUUUGCUCAUCUCCUGUAGUCUCUUGUAUAAAUAACUCGGGUCAGAGUACAAGGCAAAUUUCCUAUGAGCAUCCGGCCCAGGACAAUAUGCUACUGGAAUUGCCUCGCUGUUUCGAGCGACGUGCGCCAUCAUGGAUCUCACUGAUGUGUAAUUACCCCAUCUGAAACAUAAGUAGCGACCCUCGAAAUUAGUUAGAAUGUCUAAAAUGUUAUUAAAUGCUAUCAAUCCCCUCACAAAAACCGUAUCCGUACAUGCCAUGCUACAAAUAUUUAUCACGCUUGAUUACUCCCAAUUAAACUACACGAAUAAUAGUAUGGAAAUAUCGUGGAUGAUAGUCGUAUAAAAUGAUGACCGUCAUGUACAGACAUCGUCAUUGUUAAAAUGCGGGAAUAUGAAUGUAUACAAUGAGCUGUAAGGCUCCACACCUACAAAUAGUUUAAAAUUUGCCGGGUUAUUCAAUGAAAAGGAGAUCAAGAGCUUCAAAUGAUUGUGGAUCUAUGUCGAUGUGCGCUUUUAGGGUGCCGUUUGAGAUGAGAAGUGUAAUCAUCUGGAGAAUUAGCUGGAUGUCAUAAUGUCUGAAAAUUGACCUUUCCGGAUAAUCCUCCAGGUGAUUACGCUUCGCGAAAUCGCAGGAUGCCGCCGAGAGGAAUUUGGCUAGUGUGAGGAGGCACGAUUUCCUUUUACCCCGGAUGUGCGAUGUUCGCCGGAUUAACAGUGCCGGACUGGCGUAAAAAAAGUUAGGCAGCUACUAGGAUUUUGGGGCCCCUAUGGGGGGUCUGGGGGGUCGCCCCCCAGGGAUGGAGGGGGGUCGGGGGGUCCUCCCCGAAAAUUUUGAAAAUUUAACCCCUGAAAAUAGAAGUUUUAGGCUCUUUUCUCAUUGAAUUUUGAUAAAUAGCGCCUCCGAAAAUGUCACCUAUUUUUAGAUAUUUUUUGUAAAAUUCGGCGAUGAAUCUGCAAAUCACAAGGCUAAAGACAAAAAUGACAUAUGUUAUCAAAUUGAAUUUAUAGUUUAAUUCAUUGUUUGUUGUAAUUUUAUUCAUAGUUCAAAAAAAAAUACAUAUAUAACUUGGUGGCCAAGCCAGAGUGACCAUUAAACAAAAAAUGUGUUUUUCUCACAUGUGUGAUGUGAGUGUGGCAUGAAAGUAUGUUCUGACAUUCGAGUAAACACCGUCUUUAAACUGAGUUUAUCGUUAUCCCAAGUGAAGAAAGAAGGAAUAAACUCACACUAUUAAUAACCGCUGUAACAGUUUACUGGUCGCAGCAACCAAAUCAAUACAAUAAUUUUUGUCAAUAAGUUGCGUCAUAUCGCGCUCAACAAACAGCAUCAUGAGAGGUGCCAAAAGAUUUUGGCCUAGAUGUGACCGCAGUCUAUCCCUUAAAAUUUUAAGCUUAAAAAAAACUCUUUCGCAAGUCACUUGCGUACAAGGUAACGAAAGCACAUAUUUGUAAGCUAUAUACAAAUUAUUUGAAAGGCUCGUUUGACUUGUUAAUUCAUAUAAUAUUUUGAAUGCACAAUGGAUACAAUGACCCUCGGCCUCAAGUUCUUUUCUUUUAAGGGAUCAGGCUGCGGCCUAGACUUCACUUCUUCUGUUUCGUUCUCCUCUUCGUCUAAUUCUAAAUCAUCAUCAUUAUCAUUUAACCAGAUCAUUAGCUCCUCCACACCACUGGAUGACUUUGGAAUUGAGUCACUGAAACUUGUUGGUGUCUUGCUCUUCAAACUGUCGUAGAGACCAGCAAACUGUUUCAUUUCUGGAGUAAGAGUAUUCUGGUCAACACCAACCAGUUUACUCAAUUCUUUAAAGUGUCUGGAGGAAAUGUAAAACCAGGGGUUUGAAUAGUUUUGAAAUUUUUGGGGUUAAGCCACGAAAUGUCGGACAAGAACUCUUUAUUGGGCACAAACCUUCUUUCUAAACUACCUAAAACAGCAUCGUAGACCUCGAAAAACUUUUUUCGCUGUGACUCUAAAAUACUUAAAUUCCGCGCCUCAUCGCGCGCUUUUUCAUCAAAAAAUUUGUUUUUUAAUGGGACACGUUUUUGCGGAAAGUCUUCUUCCAGAAAAAUGAUUUUAUUUUUGGAAAAGCCUUCAUUUAUUUUUUUUUGCAAAGUUCUUGGCUUUAUCAUAAAGUAUUUCAAAAUACUCGUCGUUUCGACGGGCUUUUAAUUGACUUAUAAGAUGAUCUACGACAUUCCAAGCUUGUAAGUAAUCCAAAUUCUUAGACUGGAGGAAAGUGGAGACCGGCGAAGUCAUUUCAAACAAGUCCAAAAUUACUAUUGCUGAAAAAAUAUGUUGAAAUUUGCUCCAGUUACUUAAUAAAUUACGUGCUUUAAAUUUUGCGGUUCCAUCAAAAUUACUGUCUAUAACAUCUAAAAGAAAUACAAAAAUGUAACAAACUUUGAGGACUCAAAGUCAUCAUCGAUGUUUCCAAACAGAGCUUUUAUAGCUUUG